AGCAGCCGCGGUAAUUCCAGCUCCAAUAGCGUAUAUUAAAGUUGUUGCAGUUAAAAAGCUCGUAGUUGAAUUUCGGGGUUAGUAGGUCGGUCGUGCCACAGGUAUGUACUGGUCUCACUGAUUCCUCCUUCCUGAUGAACCGUAAUGCCAUUAAUUUGGUGUUGCGGGGAAACUGGACUGUUACUUUGAAAAAUUAGAGUGUUUAAAGCAGGCUAACGCUUGAAUACAUUAGCAUGGAAUAAUGAAAUAGGACGUUCGAUCCUAUUUUGUUGGUUUCUAGGAUUGACGUAAUGAUUAAUAGGGAUAGUUGGGGGCAUUAGUAUUCAAUUGUCAGAGGUGAAAUUCUUGGAUUUAUUGAAGACUAACUACUGCGAAAGCAUUUGCCAAGGAUGUUUUCAUUAAUCAAGAACGAAAGUUAGGGGAUCGAAGACGAUCAGAUACCGUCGUAGUCUUAACCAUAAACUAUGCCGACUAGGGA
rnacentral:rRNA from 1 species